ACCAGCUGUAGAAAUACGGCCUUCCCGCAAGGGACACCAGUAUAGGCGCUGCAUGGCUGUCGUCAGCUCGUGCCGUGAGGUGUCGGGUUAAGUCCCGCAACGAGCGCAACCCCUGCACACAGUUACUACUCGCAAGAGAGGACUCUGUGUGGACUGCUCCGGAUAACGGAGAGGAAGGUGGGGAUGACGUCAAGUCCGCAUGGCCUUUAUGUCCAGGGCUACACACGUGUUACAAUGCAGGGCACAAACCGUUGCCAACCCGCGAGGGGGAGCUAAUCGGAAAAAACUCUGCUCAGUUCGGAUUGCAGUCUGCAACUCGACUGCAUGAAGCCGGAAUCGCUAGUAAUGGCGUAUCAGAUCGACGCCGUGAAUACGUUCCCGGGCCUUGUACACACCGCCCGUCACAUCACGAAAGUGAGCUGUACUAGAAGUCGCCGCGCCAACCGCAAGGAGGCAAGCGCCCAAGGUAUGACUCAUGAUUGGGGUGAAGUCGUAACAAGGUAGGCGUAGAUGA
rnacentral:rRNA from 1 species